rnacentral:misc_RNA from 1 species
UUUUUAGUUUAAGGUUAUCAAUACACAAUGUAAUUUAUCGUUUUAGACUUGGCAGCGAAUCACUCCAACUGGCUAAGUAGAAAGCAAUUCGAAGUACAGUGUUAGUCAGUUAGAAUGAUUCGCUGCCAAGUUCUGCUGUCAAGGCUAAGGCAUGAAUAUAAAUAUUGGGCUAGAAUUGUUCACCUGUGACGGGGGGAAGUUAAGCAGAAAGUCUUGCAGCUGAUAUUAUCGAUUGGAUUUCCAUGAGAAUGGAAGAAUGCCUGGACGCGUCUUUGGCAAAGUUGAAGUCAGCUUUUGAAUCGCAAUAGAUUAGUGAUGCUUCAACGUUUGCGGUGAUGAAAUUAAAUGAAUAUAAGUUAGCAGCAAUGAAACAUUCUGAAAGGGUACGUGAUGCAAUCAAGCUUAGAACUGGCAGAUCAUUAUGCUACUGGUUUUCAAUAUAGAUUUGGACAAGUAGUAGGUGUCAGUGAAAAAGAAUGCAGAGGAAGAAGCAAAUCAAAGUUAUAUAUCUGCACUUAAGCAAGAAACUCAACUAUUGAUAUAUGCUACAGACAUAUGAGCAAACCAUAUCAGAGAAAUAAGAGCUUCGAGUAUUCGAAGAAUGAAAGGAGAAUCGUCAGAGCUAAGUCUCAUAGUGAGUUUUAAUGAUGUCCCAACUUUUUACCAUGAGAGAUGGAAUUACCGACUGCAAUCUUAGUAUACACAUGUACGACAUCUACAAAAUAGAGGAUGUACUAGCAGUUCACAUAUCCAAUCCAAAAACUUUGGAGUUUCAGCGGGUGGCAUUAGAAUGGCCACAUUUAUCGAUUGGAUAAUUAAAAAUACAAUGUUCUAAUUGUUAAAUAUAAGAAAAAGGCUAUAGCAGCAAUCAUCUAAGAAUGGCUGUGGCCAAUCCGAACGUGGCCAUUCUGGACGUUUCCAUCCAAAGCUCAUUAAAAUCAGUGAGGGACGACUAUUCUCUUGUUAGUAUAUAUAGUCGAAACAUUUUGCAAUUUAUCAAAUACUUUCGUAGUUCUUUAUAUAUUUGCACUUCAAUUAAUUUUAUUUAUACAUAACAUCUUAUGAAGUUCGUUUAUUGAUCUUGUAUUAUAAUUAGAGUGUAAUAUGCAAGGUUGAGUAAGUUAAUAUAUUUUUGUAACUAAAUUAAAUUAAAGUCAAUGCAUGGA